rnacentral:lncRNA from 1 species
UAAGGAACAGGAACUGCACAGAGGAGGAAGUAACAGUUUUUCCUCUCCAGCCAGUGUGCAUUUGGUGUAGUUUGUAGAUGAAAACUCUGUCAGGUUUCUAACCUGGGCGUGUUUAUAGAUUGUUGUCUGACCUGAUGAUGAGCCACCCUACUUGAAAGUGUAGGUUAUUAUGAUCUAUAGUGGUAUUUGCAUGCUUUCCAUUCCCAUUCAUGAACAACCGAACCUGACAGCAGAGUCUAGUAAAUGCCUAUAAGGGCCUAGGAAUGAGUUGAUGCCUAGUUAAGAAACAAGACUUGGAGAGUGAAGGGAUGGUUUUUAUUAAAUCGUUUAUCUUGAAGUGUUCAUUCUAGCUUUAAAUUAAUUAAGACUACACCACCGUGAAGUACAGAAAUGAAAAAGAAAAAAUAUAGAGGGGGGAAAAAGAAUGAAUAUCUGAUUCUUUUCAAUGCUUGUAGAAAUCUUUGAAAUAAUGAAAUGCAUACUAUAAAAUAGCCUUUAGAACAAACACCCCAUUUUACAGCUCAUAGGACAACAUCAAACAUUAGUAAGUCUAAGUAUGAUAAGUAUAAUUUUUGGUGUAUACAUUUUGCUAAAACAGUAUUUUCUUGCACCCCUCAAUUUAAUCUCUUAAAAAUGAAUGUGUAAUUUUUACAGAAAGAAUAUCCAAGGGAGAGAGAAUCUCUGGUCUUUGAUGCUAAAAUAUUGUUCAUGAAUCCUGGCUAGCUAAGUGUACAAAUUAUGACACUUACCGAAUGAAACUCCUUAUACAUCUCUUUCUUAAAUUAAUCAGUCUUUACAAAUUUUCAACUGACUCCCAAAUCUGAUAAGGAAGGAUCCAAAGGUAAGACAAAGGAAACUUAUCAGUUGGGUUGCCAAAAAGUUUCCUUUGUAGUGUUGAGACUAUUUUCUCUUUUCUGAAUUUCACUGGUUCUCUAAAAUAAAAGCUAAGAGUUAAAUGGUACCCUUGUUCAUCAAGGAAAGUAAUGCAAACUCUGUCUAAUAGACACAGAAAGCAAACCACAAGCCAGUUUGGCAUCUUCUCCAUGCUAAUAGAAUAGUCACAUCCACAUGCACAGUCUGAGCAAGGUGAAAAAGAACCCUGUCAGGUCAACUUGGAACAUGGCCUUGCUACUUGGAUUAGCUCCUUCAAACCUGAAAAUAACUUUCCUGGUCAUGGAAGAACUGGAUGUAUCCUUUAGCUUAUGAAAUAGGAUUUGAACUUGAAAUCUCUUUUUUUAAAUCCUGAUUUUGCAGGGCAGCUACAUAAUGAAUGUAUAUAUUAAGACUUUGUAGCUGAAUUGCACAUGAAAUCAGAUUGCCAACUUCUUGACUUUGAAUUUUAGACAUCAUUUUAUCCUUAAGUUGUGAGUGAUAUAUGUAGCAUGCUGUGAAACGUCUAUUAUAGUUCUUUAAUUCAUCAGUAUUAAUACAGAAUUAUCUUUUGCGUUCCUUGGUACUUUUUAUUCAGUGUAAUCAGAAGCUGUGAUGUUUUGCCUUUGUAGUCCUGUGC